ACGCACGCUGGCGGCGUGCUUAACCCAUGCAAGUCGAACGGAAAGGCCCUGCUUUUGUGGGGUGCUCGAGUGGCGAACGGGUGAGUAACACGUGAGUAACCUGCCCUUGACUUUGGGAUAACUUCAGGAAACUGGGGCUAAUACCGGAUAGUAGCUCCUGCUGCAUGGUGGGGGUUGGAAAGUUUCGGCGGUUGGGGAUGGACUCGCGGCUUAUCAGCUUGUUGGUGGGGUAGUGGCUUACCAAGGCUUUGACGGGUAGCCGGCCUGAGAGGGUGACCGGCCACAUUGGGACUGAGAUACGGACCAGAAUCCUACGGGAGGCAGCAGUGGGGAAUAUUGCACAAUGGGCGGAAGCCUGAUGCAGCAACGCCGCGUGCGGGAUGACGGCCUUCGGGUUGUAAACCGCUUUCGCCUGUGACGAAGCGUGAGUGACGGUAAUGGGUAAAGAAGCACCGGCUAACUACGUG
rnacentral:rRNA from 1 species